CCCACCUCUCAUCCGGUAGGUGCCCCGUGGGGAGAAUAGGGAAUCAGGUGCAAAUCCUGAGCGGACCCGCCACUGUAAGCGGUUAGUCUAACACCAUAUUUAUGCCACUGACCGUCACGGUUGGGAAGGCCGGUGUUGGGCCAUGACCCGUGAGCCAGGAGACCUGCCUGCCGGAUCAUAGAACU
rnacentral:ncRNA from 2 species